rnacentral:rRNA from 1 species
AUACGGAGGGUGCAAGCGUUAAUCGGAAUUACUGGGCGUAAAGCGCGCGUAGGCGGCUUGAUAAGUCGGAUGUGAAAUCCCCGGGCUUAACCUGGGAAUUGCAUUCGAUACUGUCAGGCUAGAGGGUGGUAGAGGGAAGUGGAAUUUCCGGUGUAGCGGUGAAAUGCGUAGAUAUCGGAAAGAACAUCAGUGGCGAAGGCGGCUUCCUGGAUCAACACUGACGCUGAGGUGCGAAAGCGUGGGGAGCACACAGGAUUAGAUACCCCAGUAGUCC